GUAGGAACAUUGAAUCAAUAUUGAUGUUUGAAAGACAAAGCCGGAAGUUGAAAUAAUUAGAAGCAAUAAUUUAUGCGACAUUGUGUUCUUGGAAACUCUAUGGAUUUUACGGUGGAUCUACAGGCUUAAUGUUGACCUUACUCGUCACAAAGCAACCGGAGCAGCGUUCGCGUGCACUUAUUGUACUUUCGUGGCUAUAAUUCAACGUUUGUGAGCCUGCAUUGAAACACGCGGCGGUCAUGUGUCCUACGAAGGCUGACUAAUUCCCGGAAUUGGUGCAAGACUUGCCGGCAAUGCGCGUAAAGUUCUUUCUUUCGCGUGUCCUUACAUACUAAUUCAUCGAUCUGCAUCGAACUUUACACGGCUUUCAGUCUACCGGAAAUUUCUUGUUAACGCUUCGCUGACCGCAGAACGACAAAUGCUCGCCCUUAUCAGUUUUAUCUCGUGAAAAGGUGUAAUAUUACGUCAAUGGUUCCCAGCUACGAAGAACAAAAAGAUGCUCUACUACGUCAACGAUCGCAAAAAAGAUUUCACCGGGAUGGAGAAAAUCGGGCGCGCCAGCUCUCGUCGAGAUUAACUGUUGUAGAACGUCGAGUUAUCGAU
rnacentral:lncRNA from 1 species